AUUGAACGCUGGCGGCAGGCCUAACACAUGCAAGUCGAGCGGGAACUUCGGUUCUAGCGGCGGACGGGUGAGUAAUGCGUAGGAAGCUACCCGACAGAGGGGGAUACCAGUUGGAAACGACUGUCAAUACCGCAUAAUGUCUACGGACCAAAGUGUGGGACCUUCGGGCCACAUGCUGUCGGAUGCGCCUACGUGGGAUUAGCUAGUUGGUGAGGUAAUGGCUCACCAAGGCGACGAUCCCUAGCUGGUUUGAGAGGAUGAUCAGCCACACUGGAACUGAGACACGGUCCAGACUCCUACGGGAGGGAGCAGUGGGGAAUAUUGGACAAUGGGCGCAAGCCUGAUCCAGCCAUGCCGCGUGUGUGAAGAAGGCCUUCGGGUUGUAAAGCACUUUCAGUAGGGAGGAAGAGUUGAGUGUUAAUAGUACUCAGCUUUGACGUUACCUACAGAAGAAGCACCGGCUAACUCUGUGCCAGCCGCCGCGGUAACAC
rnacentral:rRNA from 1 species